AACGCACAUUGCGCCCCUUGGUAUUCCAGGGGGCAUGCCUGUUUGAGCGUCAUUUCCUUCUCAAACAUUCUGUUUGGUAGUGAGUGAUACUCUUUGGAGUUAACUUGAAAUUGCUGGCCUUUUCAUUGGAUGUUUUUUUUCCAAAGAGAGGUUUCUCUGCGUGCUUGAGGUAUAAUGCAAGUACGGUCGUUUUAGGUUUUACCAACUGCGGCUAAUCUUUUUUGUACUGAGCGUAUUGGAACGUUAUCGAUAAGAAGAGAGCGUCUAGGCGAACAAUGUUCUUAAAGUUUGACCUCAAAUCAGGUAGGAGUACCCGCUGAACUUAA
rnacentral:misc_RNA from 1 species